ncrna:Ornithorhynchus anatinus (platypus) microRNA oan-mir-1421s precursor
CGGUGUGAGGUGGUCACUUGAGUUGCAGUGGGGUAGUGGAACACGCUGCAUCCCAUGUGACCGCCCUACACAGU